rnacentral:tRNA from 1 species
GACAGUAUAGCACAAGUGGUAGAGCACAUGCUUAGCACGCAUGAGGUCCUGGGUUCAAUCCCCAGUACCUCCU